GAUGAACGCUGGCGGCGUGCCUAAUACAUGCAAGUCGAGCGAAUGGAUUGAGAGCUUGCUCUUAUGAAGUUAGCGGCGGACGGGUGAGUAACACGUGGGUAACCUGCCCAUAAGACUGGGAUAACUCCGGGAAACCGGGGCUAAUACCGGAUCACAUUUUGAACCGCAUGGUUCGAAAUAGAAAGGCGGCUUCGGCUGUCACUUAUGGAUGGACCCGCGUCGCAUUAGCUAGUUGGUGAGGUAACGGCUCACCAAGGCAACGAUGCGUAGCCGACCUGAGAGGGUGAUCGGCCACACUGGGACUGAGACACGGCCCAGACUCCUACGGGAGGCAGCAGUAGGGAAUCUUCCGCAAUGGACGAAAGUCUGACGGAGCAACGCCGCGUGAGUGAUGAAGGCUUUCGGGUCGUAAAACUCUGUUGUUAGGGAAGAACAAAUGCUAGUUGAAUAAGCUGGCACCUUGACGGUACCUAACCAGAAAGCCACGGCUAACUACGUGCCAGCCGCCGCCGUAA
rnacentral:rRNA from 1 species